rnacentral:lncRNA from 1 species
AGAUUGUCACAUUUAUAGCAAUUAUAUAUGAAAGUCUUACUUACAAAGUCUAAAACCUGCAUCCGUAACGUACCAAAUAAAUUUUAAAAUAUAUUUUUGGGCUCAUAUAACACUAAUUGGGUCAUAGAUGGUGACUUUACUUUGAAUCAUGUGAAAGAAUCUGUAAGUACCCAAAUUUGCCUGAGCUCAAACUAUUAACCAGCCUAAACAAUUAAUAGUCCAUCAUCAAAAUCCAAAUUACAUAACCUAAAUUUAAAACCCAAAACAUUACAAACCCAAACCCAAAACUAAUAAAACCUUAAACCCAAAAAGGCCCAAAACCUAAACCAUGUUUGCAGCAAACCCUAGCCCUAGCAGUAGCUGUGCCACCAGCAGCCUCCGUACGCGCCAGAUACCCCGCCACGUUGCCUCCGUACCUGCAAAAGAAGACAAGCAAAGGACAGACACAGCAGCAAGAGCAAAAACCAAGCAGAAACUUUGUAUUUUUUCUCUUUUGUUGUGACUAUAAAAAGCCAAGAAAUAUCAAUGUAUCUUCCUCUCUUUUUUACGCACACUGAGAGAAGCAUAUUGAAAAGAAAAAUUCAAAAGCAAUUUAAAAGGCGAUUUCCGAUUCAAAUCUCUAGGUAUUUUAUUUUUAUUUUUUUUUGGCUUCAUACUUUCGGAUUUGUUGUUUUUUAUUUUGAAGGCAAAAUAAAAAGAAAAAAGGAGGGACUUACCUUGAAAAUACGCCAUGGAUCUCCUUUUGCUUAGUUGAAAUCGAAGCCAAGAGGAGAUUACUAGGCUGAAAAAAUCAUUCUAUCAAGUCUAAGUGUGUUGGUUGUUGUUUGGGGAAGGAAAAUUGACAGUUUUAGAGGGAAUUUAGGAUUUGAUAAGAAAGAAAAAGAGGGAUGGGAGCUUGGUUUAGCCGAAUGGGGUAAUGGCUUUUAAAUUUUUUUUACUCUAUUUUUUAAAAAAGGGAAGGAAAUGGUGGCUUUGCUUUAUUAGGGUUUCCUUUUUUACUUUUUAAAGGACAUGAAGUGACUACGUUUUGAGCCAAUAUUAAUGGCUUUGAAAUGACACCAUUUGGUCCUUGAGGGUUAAUUGUAUGGAAAGUCUCUCCCCUUUGCGCUGGUUUCCAAUUAACUUUUAUUUGUUUUAAAUUUUCCCUAAAAUUCGUGUGUUGUUGGCCUGAGCACAAUGUUUUAAGAUCUGAAAUAUUUCCAGAUUUGAUCCUCGUGCAUUUGCACGCGUGGCGCAUUAGUCCUCAAUUUAAUUUCAAGAAUUUAUAAAUUUUUCCUUUUAUUUUAAUUUUAUUUCAAUUGAGUUCUUUUCAUUAUUUUUAAAAUUCGUUUCAGAUUCUUUUUUUUUUAAUUUUGGUUUGAUAAUUUGAUAUUUUAAGCUACUUGGAUAAUUGUGUUUUGUUUUAAAGUUAUUAUUAUUUUUAAUAUCUCAUUUAAAUAUUUUUGUAUAUUCGUACGUAUAUUAUUUUAGUGGAGUUUUCUUUAAAAUUUACUUAAUGCUUUUAUGUAUAUAGGAAGCUAUUUUAGAAACUGCAUUUUUCGUGUUUAUAAAAUUAUUAUUUCAAGAUGUUUCUUUAUAUUAUAUUAUUCUAAUACUUUAUAGUAUCUCAUUUAAAGGCUUUUAUGUAUAAUGGC